rnacentral:lncRNA from 10 species
UUCCAGCAGGCUGCUGAGGACCGCCUAAAUAAUGAGCUUCAGACUCAGGUGUCCAUCUUUGGUUCAGAAAAGAUGAUCUUGUACCUAAAUGUCUCCCAUGUUGCCAUUCCAGUCUCAAAUGUCAUACUGCAACAAGAAAAUAAAAUGGUCCACACAUAAAUGAAUGCUUGAUGUACAAUAAAGGUGCACUGCAGGGCAGCGGGAGAAAAAAGUCUUUCCAAUAAGUGGCACUAGGACAAUUGCGUACCAUGCUGGAAAAAGAAGAAAUUGAACUCCUAACUCACACAAAAGUCAAUUCCAGAGUUGAAUGGAACUGAUAUAAACAAUAGGCCGCCGAAUGACUAGUUGGUCAUCUGAAGGAAGAAUACCAAUAAGAAAAGUAAUGGAGAACUGAAAGCUCAUGGUGUGUUCAGAGAACAGCUAGCAGAGGAGAGGAGGAAAGAAGAGAAGGAAGGAAGAAGAUCAAGCUGAAAUGGCUGGCCAUGGUGGCUACAACUGGAGCAGCCAUUUGGGUGGUGAGGUGAGUUCAAGAUGGAAGCCAAGCACAACCUAGAAGGACCCUGACUCCCUGACACCAUGGUUUGCCAUAUGGGACCUGGACUGAUUCCCUUUGGAACUUUAUCUGAGAGAAAUAAACUUCUGUCUUGCUUAAGCCAUUUUUAUGGUGUCUUUCUGUCAUUUGUAGCUAAUCCUAAUCCUAAUUUUUACAUUAUCCUUCCAUAAGCUGUGAAGAGCCACAAAAAGUUUUAU